rnacentral:rRNA from 1 species
UGGGGAAUAUUGGACAAUGGGCGAAAGCCUGAUCCAGCAAUACCGCGUGUGUGAAGAAGGCCUUAGGGUUGUAAAGCACUUUCAAUUGGGAGGAAAACCUACCGGUCAAUACCCGGUAGCUUGACAUUACCUUUAGAAGAAGCACCGGCUAACUCCGUGCCAGCAGCCGCGGUAAUACGGAGGGUGCAAGCGUUAAUCGGAAUUACUGGGCGUAAAGCGUGCGUAGGCGGUUCGUUAAGUCAGAUGUGAAAGCCCUGGGCUCAACCUGGGAACUGCAUUUGAAACUGGCGGACUAGAGUUUAGUAGAGGGGAGUGGAAUUUCAGGUGUAGCGGUGAAAUGCGUAGAUAUCUGAAGGAACACCAGUGGCGAAGGCGACUCCCUGGACUAGAACUGACGCUGAGGUACGAAAGCGUGGGUAGCAAACAGGAUUAGAUACCCUGGUAGUCCACGCCGUAAACGAUGUCGACUAGCCGUUGGUCCUAUUUACAGGAUUAGUGGCGCAGCUAACGCAUUAAGUCGACCGCCUGGGGAGUACGGCCGCAAGGUUA